UCCAGACUCCUACGGGAGGCAGCAGUGGGGGAUAUUGCACAAUGGGGGAAACCCUGAUGCAGCGACGCCGCGUGGGUGAAGAAGCGCCUCGGCGCGUAAAGCUCUAUCAGCAGGGAAGAAAGAAAUGACGGUACCUGACUAAGAAGCCCCGGCUAACUACGUGCCAGCAGCCGCGGUAAUACGUAGGGGGCAAGCGUUAUCCGGAUUUACUGGGUGUAAGGGGAGCGUAGACGGAUGGAUAAGUCUGAAGUGAAAGCCCGCGGCUCAACUGCGGGACUGCUUUGGAAACUGUGCAUCUUGAGUACGGGAGGGGCAGGCGGAAUUCCUGGUGUAGCGGUGAAAUGCGUAGAUAUCAGGAGGAACACCGGCGGCGAAGGCGGCCUGCUGGACCGAAACUGACGUUGAGGCUCGAAAGCGUGGGGAGCAAACAGGAUUAGAUACCCGUGUAA
rnacentral:rRNA from 1 species